rnacentral:rRNA from 1 species
GUUAGGAAUAUUGGACAAUGGGCGAAAGCCUGAUCCAGCCAUGCCGCGUGAACGAUGAAGGCCUUCGGGUUGUAAAGUUCUUUAGCCGAUGAUUAUAAUGACUGUAGUCGGAAAAUAAGCCCCGGCUAACUUCGUGCCAGCAGCCGCGGUAAUACGAAGGGGGCGAGCGUUAUUCGGAAUCACUGGGCGUAAAGCGUGCGUAGGCGGUCUCGUAAGUUAGGAGUGAAAGCCCAGGGCUCAACCUUGGAAUUGCUCUUAAAACUGCAAGGCUAGAAUCUCGGAGAGGAUAGCGGAAUUUCCAGUGUAGCAGUGAAAUGCGUAGAUAUUGGAAGGAACACCAGUGGCGUAAGCGGCUAUCUGGACGAGUAUUGACGCUGAGGCACGAAAGCGUGGGGAUCAAACAGGAUUAGAAACCCUUGUAGUCC